rnacentral:rRNA from 1 species
UACGAAGGGCUCGAGCGUUAAUCGGAUUCACUGGGCUUAAAGGGUGCGUAGGCGGACGCGCAGGCAUUUUGUGAAAUCCCCCGGCUCAACCGGGGAACUGCAGGGUGAACCGCGCGUCUUGAGGCAAGUAGGGGCUGUCGGAACGCUAGGUGGAGUGGUGAAAUGCGUUGAUAUCUAGCGGAACGCCGAAGGAGAAAUCAGGCAGCUGGGCUUGUUCUGACGCUGAGGCACGAAAGCGUGGGGAGCGAACGGG